GGCCUCAUGGUCUAGUGGUAUGAUUCCUGCUUUGGGAAUAGCUCUCAAAUUUGCAGGAGGCCCCGCGUUCGAAUCGCGGUGGGGCCC